UAUUAAGCGAUGAAUAGGAAAAGUAGAUUUAGUGUAGACACUAAGAGAGGAAGUGGAUGGUGAAAACUUCUUGCUAUAUUACUUCGAAGCUACCUAGGAGCUAUAAAUUACUAAGUGAUGUAUAAAUUUAUACAUAAUUAGGGUGGUACCGCGGAAUUUUAGCUUUCGUCCCUUAU
rnacentral:ncRNA from 1 species